rnacentral:piRNA from 1 species
UGCCGUCGGAUGCAGAUGGAGUUCGUAGU